rnacentral:rRNA from 1 species
GACGAACGCUGGCGGCGUGCCUAAUACAUGCAAGUAGAACGCACAGUUAUACCGUAGCUUGCUACACCAUAGACUGUGAGUUGCGAACGGGUGAGUAACGCGUAGGUAACCUGCCUGGUAGCGGGGGAUAACUAUUGGAAACGAUAGCUAAUACCGCAUAAUAUUAAUUAUUGCAUGAUAAUUAAUUGAAAGGUGCAAUUGCACCACUACCAGAUGGACCUGCGUUGUAUUAGCUAGUAGGUGAGGUAACGGCUCACCUAGGCGACGAUACAUAGCCGACCUGAGAGGGUGAUCGGCCACACUGGGACUGAGACACGGCCCAGACUCCUACGGGAGGCAGCAGUAGGGAAUCUUCGGCAAUGGACGAAAGUCUGACCGAGCAACGCCGCGUGAGUGAAGAAGGUUUUCGGAUCGUAAAGCUCUGUUGUAAGAGAAGAACGGGUGUGAGAGUGGAAAGUUCACACUGUGACGGUAUCUUACCAGAAAGGGACGGCUAACUACGUG